rnacentral:rRNA from 1 species
UACCGCCGUCGUCAGCUUACCCUAUGAAGGUCUAACAGUAAGCAGAAUUGGCAUAGCCCAAAACGUCAGGUCGAGGUGUAGCGAACGAGAAGGGAAGAAAUGGGCUACAUUUACUGAGUCAGUCUAUACGGAUAUUGUACUGAAAAAGCAUUUAAAGGAGGAUUUAGCAGUAAGGGAAGAAUAGAGCGCCUCCCUGAAAACGGCCCUGAAGCGCGUACACACCGCCCGUCACUCUCCCCGAACACUUAACACCUAAUAAAUAAGCACCCAACAAAAAUAAGGGGAGGCAAGUCGUAACAUGGUAAGUGUACCGGAAGGUGCACUUGGAAAAACC